rnacentral:lncRNA from 1 species
AGCUAGGAUAAAGUGACCAUCAGGAGGCUGAUAAAUUUUCAGCUACUCCUUCCUCUCUCAGCCCGUCUUGUCUGUGCCACGUGGUUUCAGACAAGCAGGGGCGAUGCUCAGGCCAGGCAUCCAGAGCAGAGGAGGGGCUCGCUCCAUGGAUAAGGCUCUUCAAGGGAAGUAUCUGAAUUCACUUGGGAAGGAGAGUUGGAUGGGGAUGAGACAGUGAGACUGGAGGUGCUGGCUGUGGUGGUGGAGGGACAGUAAUAUACGGGCAACAGAGAAGGCUGUGUGUGAUUGUUUUACAGACUGCAGAAAACGAGCACGUAGGGUGUGGUGUGUCCAGAAGUUAGGAAGCAGGCUCUGGCUAUCGGAAAAACAGCAAAGAAAUAGUUGUUGCUUUAAUAAUUCCUAAUAUAGAUGACAAUAUGGGGGAGUAAGAGGAGAAAAGGGUACGUCAGUAUAUAAAAGGGAUGAAGGGCAGACAAAAGGGAGAGACCGAAUCAAAUGAAGGCAACAAAUUAAACAAGGCAAUGCUUCAGAUGGAGGAAGAUGUGGAUGGCACUGGAUUCCGUGGCAGAAGGAAAGAGUGCAGGAGAUUACUCCCCAGUUCACUUGAUUUUUACCUGAUGAUUUACAAGGAACAUUCACACGGGGAAG